GCUUACACAUGCAAGNNNNAACGAGAACGGCCUUAGCUUGCUAAGGUGUCAGCUAAGUGGCGCACGGGUGAGUAAUGCAUAGUUGAUCUGCCCCCUGGAGAGGGAUAGCCACUGGAAACGGUGAUUAAUACCUCAUACUCCUCAUGGUGUAAAGGCCAUGAGGGAAAUGUCUCUUCGCCAGGGGAUGAGACUAUAUCGUAUCAGCUUGUUGGUGGGGUAAGAGCCUACCAAGGCUAUGACGCGUAGCGGGUCUGAGAGGAUGAUCCGCCACACUGGUACUGAGACACGGACCAGACUCCUACGGGAGGCAGCAGUGAGGAAUAUUGCACAAUGGGCGAAAGCCUGAUGCAGCAACGCCGCGUGGAGGAUGACGCAUCUCGGUGUGUAAACUCCUUUUAUGAGGGAAGAUAAUGACGGUACCUCAUGAAUAAGCACCGGCUAACUCCGUGCCAGCAGCCGCGGUAAUACGGAGGGUGCAAGCGUUACUCGGAAUCACUGGGCGUAAAGCGCGCGCAGGCGGGCUGGCAAGCUGGGUGUGAAAGCCUACGGCUCAACCGUAGAACUGCAUCCAGAACUGCCAGCCUCGAGUCUGGGAGGGGCAGAUGGAAUUGGUGGUGUAGGGGUAAAAUCCGUAGAGAUCACCAGGAAUACCGAAAGCGAA
rnacentral:rRNA from 1 species